rnacentral:lncRNA from 10 species
GUACUUUGUAAAAUAUAUCAUGCAUGUGGCAAGAAUUUAAAGAAAAGAGAGGGUUGGACACUAUAUUUAGAAAAAAUACAUGGAUCAAGGUCAUAGUAUUGUUUUUAGUUUUAAAACUACAGUGUGACCAUGAGAGACCAAUGAAUUUGGUCAGGAAUAUUUUGAGAAUCAUAGUCGCAUUAAAUUUUGCACCUGCACUGCUUAAAUGAGGGGCAGAAAGCUACAAGUCAAGAUAGGAUCUUUGCUGAUCUGACCCAAAUAUUUGCGUAGUUUUUGCCCUGUUAAAGAGAAAUUGGCUGGGUGUGGUGGCUCACACCUGUAGUCUCAGUACUUUGGGAGGCCAAGGCAAGCAGAUCAGCAGGUCAGGAGUUCCAGACAAGCCUGGCCAAUAAGGUGAAAGCCCAUCUCUACUAAAAAUACAAAAAUUAACUGGGCGUGUUGGCAGGCGCCUGUAGUCCCAGCUACUUGGGAAGCUGAGGCAGGAGAAUCGCUUGAACCCGGGAGGCAGAGGUUGCAGUGAGCCUAGAUCACACCACUGCAACUCCAGCCUGGGACAACAGAGAGAGACUCUGUCAAAAAAAAAAAAAGAAAAAAAAGAAAAAAAGGAAAAGAAAAAUAGAAAUUGCACCAAACCAGUUAAACCAUCACAAAAGACUUUAUUCAAGAGUUUUACAAUAGGGGAGAUAGAAAAUUGCUGUAUAAGAGAAGGGCUGAACUAAACUCCACUGAAGCAAAAGGUAGAAGAGUGAAAAAGUAUUGAAAAGACUUGGGAGGGGGAGGGAUUAGUCAAUGUGAUUAGACCAUCUGUGUUUGCUAAUUAGCACUAACAGUAGUUAGGCUUCUGCCUGCCCAGGGAGACUGGGAGGUGGGAACCCUAUCUUUCUUGAAGAUUAUCUUUCAAAAGGAUGACUCCAAGGUACUUGGGAGAGACAUUUCUGGGUUGUAGCAGAUUUCCAGCUCAAAGGGACAGAGAAGAAAUGUACAAGGGCAAGUUUUCCUAUAACAAAUGUCCUAAGAAGGGAGGUCAGGGCCCUACAUCCAGGAAGAAACCUUAUCUAAAGUUUAGUCAAGCUGAGAGGAAUGUUAGGGAAAGGUAAUCUUGGUCAACUAUCUAUCAACAUUCUAAUUAUUAGGCCUGAAAUGAAGAUUUCAUAAAACAGCGGUACCUUUUGUAACAGAUGUUCUUAAUGUGUUUAGGGACAAGUAACAUAUUACCAACUCAGAGUUGACCCUCUGUUCUAGUUCUAGUUCUUUGUUCUAGUUCAAAACAUCACACUUUCAUAAAACUAGGGCUCCCAUUUAAAUGGAAAAAUGCUUUGAGGUCUGUUUAUCCCAGGUUGAGUAAGCAGCCAAUCUGUAUUCUUACAUAAUGAGAGGCAAUGAGCAGCCCAACUGUUGAAGAAAGUAAUAAAUUUGUCUGUUAAUAAGAAAGGAACUCUGCAUACCAAGGAUUCUUUGUGGGAAGGUUGGCAUAACUAGCUGCAAAUUGUUGUAAACUAAGGCAUAAGCAACCACUGCAUGACAAAAAAUUCUUUCAGGCAAUUCAGUGAAGAAUAUCUAUCAUGAUUGAUAUGCAAUUUACAUUCCAAAAGGCUCUAGCCCUUUUUUGGCUUAAAACUUUAUACUUGCUGUUGCUUGAACCCACUACUUUUGUUUUCUUUUGUUUUGUUUAUUUCUGGGCAACAGUACAGAAGGGAAUUUCUUGGUAUAACCCUCUAAGGAAAAUGAGGUCUGUAAAAUCCCUUGGAAGAGAGAAGCAGAAAAAUGAGUGGUAUUUUUGAACAAAGAAAUGACAAAAUAUAAGAUUGUCUUUUUCUUUUUCUUUCUUUCUUUCUUUCUUUUUUUUUUUUUUUUUGAGAUGGAGUUUCACUCUGUCACCCAGGCUGGAGUGCAGUGGCACUAUCUCCACUCACUGCAAGCUCCACCUCCUGAGUUCACACCAUUCUCCUGCCUCAGCCUCCGGAGUAGCUGGGACUACAGGCACCCGCCACCGCGCCCAGCUAAUUUUUUGUAUUUUUAGUAGAGACGGGGUUUCACCGUGUUAGCCUGGAUAGUCUCGAUCUCCUGACCUCGUGAUCCGCCUGCCUCGGCCUCCCAAAGUGCUGGGAUUACAGGCGUGAGCCACCGCGCCCGACCUGUCUUUUCUUAUAAUGACCGAAAGGUUGGAAUUGAAGAUAUUUUAAAAUAAGUAUAGUUUUACAAGACAAAAGAAUAGCUCGUUAGGUACAGAAAUUAUUUCUGCAAAUGUCUGUGAUAAAAAAUAAGAAAGCAAACAAAGGACUAUGAUUGAAAACUUGCAGAAAGCAAGGAAAAAAGCUAUUUUCUGAAAAGACUGAGAUCCAGUCCACAUCUCAAUGAGAAGACACAGAACGUUGAUAUUGGAAUCAGUCAAAAGCAUUAACUCGUAACUGAUGGAAGUAGAGCCAGAAAGGAGGCUUCAGGAAAAAUACAAAAUUUUCAUCUCCACUUCUACAUUGAUCUGAAUGAGAAUCGCCACAGGAAGACCCUGAAAUGACUGAUCACUGAAGGCUAUGUACUGACCUCACACCUCGGAGUUGGUGUAACAAGUCAAAUUCUCAUUGAAG